GAGAGAGAGAGAGGGGAGAUGGGAGAGAGGAGAAAGACAGAGAGAGACAGAGAGAGACAGAGAGAGACAGAGAGAGAGAGAGGUGAGAGAGAGAGGGGAGAUGGGAGAGAGGAGAAAGACAGAGAAAGACAGAGAAAGACAGAGAGAGAGAGAGAGAGGGGAGAUGGGAGAGAGGAGAAAGACAGAGAAAGACAGAGAGAGACAGAGAGAGAGAGAGAGAGGGGAGAUGGGAGAGAGGAGAAAGACAGAGAAAGACAGAGAGAGACAGAGAGAGAGAGAGAGAGGGGAGAUGGGAGAGAGGAGAAA
ensembl:lncRNA